rnacentral:rRNA from 1 species
CCUACGGGAGGCAGCAGUAGGGAAUUUUCGGCAAUGGCGGGAACGCUGACCGAGCAACGCCGCGUGAAGGAAGAAGGAACUAGUUCUGUAAACUUCUGUUAUAAAGGAAGAAAGACGGAUGGAGGAAAUGACAUCCGAGUGACGGUACUUUAUGAGAAAGCCACGGCUAACUACGUGCCAGCAGCCGCGGUAAUACGUAGGUGGCAAGCGUUAUCCGGAAUUGUUGGGCGUAAAGAGUGAGCAGGCGGCAGCAAAGGUCUGUGGUGAAAGAGUGAAGCUUAACUUCAGUAAGCCAUAGAAACCGGGCAGCUAGAGUGCAGGAGAGGAUCGUGGAAUUCCAUGUGUAGCGGUGAAAUGCGUAGAUAUAUGGAGGAACACCAGUGGCGAAGGCGACGAUCUGGCCUGCAACUGACGCUCAGUCCCGAAAGCGUGGGGAGCAAAUAGGAUUAGAUACCCGUGUAGUC